rnacentral:rRNA from 1 species
UACGAAGGGUGCAAACGUUGCUCGGAAUUAUUGGGGCGUAAAGCGCACGUAGGCGGCUUUGCAAGUCCCAUGUGAAAUCCCACGGCUCAACCGUGGAAGUGCAUGGGAAACUGCAGAGCUUGAGUACUUAAGAGGAUCGCGGAAUUCCCGGUGUAGAGGUGAAAUUCGUAGAUAGUCGGGAGGAACACCAGUGGCGAAGGCGGCGAUCUGGACAGAUACUGACACUCAACUGCGAAAGCGUGGGGAGCAAACAGG